UACGGGGGGGGCAAGCGUUGUUCGGAAUUACUGGGCGUAAAGCGUGCGCAGGCGGUGAUGUAAGACAGGUGUGAAAUCCCCGGGCUUAACCUGGGAACUGCAUUUGUGACUGCAUGGCUUGAGUGCGGCAGAGGGGGAUGGAAUUCCGCGUGUAGCAGUGAAAUGCGUAGAUAUGCGGAGGAACACCGAUGGCGAAGGCGCUCAUCUGGCCCAAUACUGACGCUGAAGCUCGAAAGCUAGGGGAGCAAACGGG
rnacentral:rRNA from 1 species